CACCAGCGCCACAAGUGGCAAUCACGUUUAUUGGGCCUAAAGCGUCCGUAGCAGGUUUCGUAAAUCUUUUGUGAAAUUGCCAGGCUCAAUCUGGCAGAGUGCAGGAGACACUGCGAAACUAGAGACCGGGAGGGGUUAGAAGUAUUCCUUAGGGAGCGGUAAAAUGCUAUAAUCUAAGGAGGACUACCUGUGGCGAAGGCGUCUAACUAGAACGGAUCUGACUGUGAGGGACGAAAGCUAGGGGAGCGAA
rnacentral:rRNA from 1 species